ACCAGCAGCCAUAUCACACUGCAGCUCUCAACUGGCUAUCCACUGAAGCUAAGCAGGGUUGAGUGUGGUCAGUACCUGGUUGGAAGACCUCCUGGGAAGCUAUGGUUGCUGCUGGAC
rnacentral:rRNA from 1 species